AUUGAACGCUGGCGGCAGGCCUAACACAUGCAAGUCGAGCGCGAGGCGGACGGGGGAGUAAUGUCUGGGAAACAGAUGGAGGGAGGGGGAGAAAUACGGGAAACGGGAGCGAAAACAGCAUAUAAUCAGAGGUGCGCAGAUGGGAUUAGCUAGUAGGUGGGGUAACGGCUCACCUAGGGGACGAUCCCUAGCUGGUCUGAGAGGAUGACCAGCCCCACUGGAACUGAGACACGGUCCAGCCUCCUACGGGAGGCAGCAGUGGGGAAUAUUGCACAAUGGGCGCAAGCCUGAUGCAGCCAUGCCGCGUGUGUGAAGAAGGCCUUCGGGUUGUAAAGCACUUUCAGCGGGGAUGCGUUACCCGCAGAAGAAGCACCGGCUAACUCCGUGCCAGCAGCCGCGGUAAUAC
rnacentral:rRNA from 1 species